CGCGGACGCCAGUACCGGGCUCCAGGAGACGCAGGGCGACGCCACACGUCGGGGUGGCCGACUGGGUCAGCGCGGGCUGCGCCUCCUCGCCAUGGGCCCCCUCUCGGCGCGGCUGCUAAUGCAGCGCGGGCGCCCCAAGAGCGACCGGCUGGGGAAGAUCCGGAGUCUGGACCUGUCAGGAUUGGAGCUGCUUUCCGAGCACCUGGACCCCAAGCUCCUGUGCCGCCUGACGCAGCUGCAGGAGCUUGACCUGUCUAACAACCACCUGGAGACGCUGCCGGACAACCUGGGCCUGUCCCACCUGCGUGUCCUCCGCUGCGCCAACAACCAGCUGGGGGAUGUUACUGCCUUGUGCCAGUUCCCCAAGCUCGAGGAACUCAGCCUGGAGGGCAACCCCUUCCUGACGGUAAG
rnacentral:lncRNA from 1 species